rnacentral:rRNA from 1 species
GAUGAACGCUAGCGGCAGGCUUAAUACAUGCAAGUCGAGGGGCAGCAUAAGUAGCAAUACUUGAUGGCGACCGGCAAACGGGUGCGGAACACGUACGCAACCUUCCUUUAAGUGGGGAAUAGCCCGGGGAAACCCGGAUUAAUACCCCGUAAUAUUAUGAUGUGGCAUCACAUUAUAAUUAUAGAUUCAUCGCUUAAAGAUGGGCGUGCGCCUGAUUAGGUAGUUGGCGGAGUAAUAGCCCACCAAGCCUGCGAUCAGUAACUGGUGUGAGAGCACGACCAGUCACACGGGCACUGAGACACGGGCCCGACUCCUACGGGAGGCAGCAGUAAGGAAUAUUGGUCAAUGGACGCAAGUCUGAACCAGCCAUGCCGCGUGGAGGAUGAAGGUCCUCUGGAUUGUAAACUUCUUUAUUUGGGAAGAAAUGUGAUGAUUCUUUAUCACUUGACGGUACCAGAUGAAUAAGCACC